AUUGAACGCUGGCGGCAGGCCUAACACAUGCAAGUCGAGCGAGCGGCGGACGGGUGAGUAAUGUAUGGGGACUGCCCGCUAGAGGGGGAUAACUACUGGAAAAGGUAGCUAAUACCGCAUACUAUCGGAUAACCCAUAUGGGAUUAGCUAGUAGGUGAGGUAAUGGCUUACCUAGGCGACGAGGCCUAGCUGGUCUGAGAGGAUGAUCAGCAACACGGGGACUGGGACGAGGCCCAGACUCCGACGGAGGCAGCGGUGGGGAGUAUUGCGCAAGGGGCGCAAGCCGGAUGCAGGCAUGCCGGGUGUAUGAAGAGGGCCCUAGGGUUGUAAAGUACGUUCAGUCGGGAGGCGGUACCGACAGAAGAAGCACCGGCUAACUCCGUGCCAGCAGCCGCGGUAAUUC
rnacentral:rRNA from 1 species